AUUACCUUUACCGGCACUGAGGCAAGGAUAUGUUAUAACUAAAGUCAAAAGUUUUUUUUUUUUUUGAAAAUCUGUUUAUUGAAGAAAAGAGAGGGUUACAGAAAGAAUUCGGCUCGCAGGCCUACUUAGAAGACAAGGGUAUUAUAGCGAUAUUUCCAUAUUUUGAGUCACAUUUUUUUGUGCCCACAUUACCAAGUCUCCUGACAGGAUUUAAUUACAGCGAUAAGUUACGUAACUAACAGUAGGCGUACAUAGGAUAACAGAAAGGUAAAGUAUGUAGAGUGACAACCGCCGUUGUUUUGGCGUACGUACAUAUGUAUAGUAUGUAACAUCCUUAUUGCUAGUAAGCGGUCUUUUAACAUAAAGCGUGGCUCUAAGUCGGGUGCAUUCAUAAGACACAGUAUACCUUGUAGCAGGAGUGCCUAAUAAUAGGCUGGACAUAGUUAUCUAGCUCCUAGCAUGAAAGAAGCGUAGGUGCUUUGGUCUUAAGGUUAGGCUAGGUUAUCCUAUGGGUGUGUUCCCAUGUCCCGCAGUUCGAUGUACCGAUAAUAGUGCCAGUAUUAUGUAUUCCUUUUUUGGUUUUCUUGACUCUUGGUUUCCC